UGGCGGCGUGCCUAACACAUGCAAGUCGAACGAGAAAGCGGGGGCAACUCCGCAAGUAAAGUGGCGACCGGGUGAGUAACACGUGACUAACCUACCCUCGGGUGGGGAAUAACCCCGGGAAACCGGGGCUAAUACCGCAUAACAUCCGCGGGGCGAAAGCUCUGCGGAUCAAAGGAGCAAUUCGCUUGAGGAGGGGGUCGCGGCCGAUUAACUAGUUGGCGGGGUAACGGCCCACCAAGGCUGAGAUCGGUAGCCGGCCUGAGAGGGCGCACGGCCACACUGGAACUGAAACACGGUCCAGACUCCUACGGGAGGCAGCAGUGGGGAAUUUUGCGCAAUGGGGGGAACCCUGACGCAGCAACGCCGCGUGGAGGAUGAAGUCCCUUGGGACGUAAACUCCUUUCGACCGGGAAGAUAAUGACGGUACCGGAAGAAGAAGCACCGGCUAACUCUGUGCCAGCAGCCGCGGUAAUACAGAGGGUGCGAGCGUUGUUCGGAAUUAUUGGGCGUAAAGGGCGCGUAUGCGGUGCGGUAAGUCACCUGUGAAAUCUCCUGGCUCAACUGGGAGCUUGC
rnacentral:rRNA from 1 species